UGCCAGCAGCCGCGGUAAUACGUAGGGUGCAAGCGUUAUCCGGAAUUACUGGGUGUAAAGCGUCAGUAGGCGGUAAUAUAAGUAGAGAGUUAAAUCAUCGGGCCCAACCCGAUGGCCGUUCUCUAAACUGUAUUACUAGAGGUAAGUAGAGGUAUAUGGAAUUCCUAGUGUAGGGGUAAAAUCCGUUGAUAUUAGGAGGAACGCUAAAAGCGGAGGCAGUAUACUGGACUUACCUGACGCUGAGAGACGAAUGCGUGGGGAGCGAACAGGAUUAGAUA
rnacentral:rRNA from 1 species